rnacentral:lncRNA from 1 species
ACUGGUGUACAGAGAAGAGCUUCACUGAGGAUCCCUUUCAGGAUGCUGUGACUCCCUUUACAAUUAUAUUUCUCACUGCCUUGGUAAAGGGUCUUUUGGACUCUUCUUGGAUGUAGUUUAGCGGAAAUCUUGGCCCUAUGUCUACAGGAGAAAAAAAGGUACUCAUUGAAGCAUUCUGCUCCCUUAUGCAGACCUUGAGCUGGGAAUUCAAAGCCCCGACUUCACUGUUUUCUUUCCCUAAGUUCUCUAUUUUACUUGGAAGCAACUAACCAAUCCCAUUAUGUUCCUUAUUUCUACCAAAAUAUUCUAAGGUACCACUACUUGAUCCCCCAAACCUCUGCCUUCUAUAGGCUGGUGAUUCCAGAUGCCUGCAGGUGAUCAGAUAUCUAAGUAACCCUCUUGCCACCAAAUACCACACACACUUCAGUUACUCUUUCAAAAAAAAUUAUCAAGCAACUGCUCUGUGCCAGAGACUCUUCUAGUCCUGAAGAUACAGUGAUAAAUAAGAUAGAGACAGUUCCUGCUGCCAUUCAGCUUGGUUCUAGUGAGAAAGACAGAUAUAUUAAAAAAUAACUUGACAUUACAUUUUCAAGAAUUUAAGUACUUUAUUGGAAAAUAUAACUGUGUAAGAAGACAGAUAUUGACAAGGACACUUAGUUCUUGUAGCGAGGAAGUAUAGACUUAACUCUUAUUAGUAAAAGAGUGUUUAAGAAUAAAAAUAUAUCAAUACCCCUAACUUUGGAGACAAACUGAAGUACUGAAUGUACUUCUAUUUUUGAUUUUUCCCUUAGCAUGGUGAGUUGUUUGGGAAAUGAUUCAAUAGUUAUUUGUAGUUUCUAAAUUCUCAGCAGCAGUUGCCUCCUGAUAUGUGUCACUAUAUAUUCUGAGUUGACAUCUGUUAUCUGAAUCACCAAAAUAGUGCCUUGUUUUAAAAUUUAUCCACUAUUGGCUUAUGUUUUAUCUUACUCUAGGCCAUGUUAUCACUACAUGUGACAUCUCUGUAUAUGUGUUUGUGAAACUGGGAUAAAGUUGGCAAAACUUGAGAUAGAGGAAACUAUCUAUGAAACAUGUUUUGCAUUAGUAGAACAGGAGGCAUAAGCACAUUUGGAAUAGAAAGAACAGAGAAGGCGAUACUGGAGAAAUAGGAUCUCACAAAGGAAAGUAGAAUGCACGUAGAGAACUUAAAUGCAAUUUAGGCAAUAACCUAUGCAAUUUGGACAACUAUAGACCUACUAUGGCUUAUGGUUUCUACCAACUAGACUUAAGCUUCUUUUGGAAUAAAGCCUUUGCCUCAUGGAGGAAGUCAGUUAA